GGCCCGAUAGUUCAAGGGAUAGAAUAGAAGUUUCCUAAACUUUUGAUACAGGUUCGAGUCCUGUUCGGGCUACAA
rnacentral:tRNA from 1 species